AUACGGAGGAUCCGAGCGUUAUCCGGAUUUAUUGGGUUUAAAGGGAGCGUAGGCGGACGCUUAAGUCAGUUGUGAAAGUUUGCGGCUCAACCGUAAAAUUGCAGUUGAUACUGGGUGUCUUGAGUACAGUAGAGGCAGGCGGAAUUCGUGGUGUAGCGGUGAAAUGCUUAGAUAUCACGAAGAACUCCGAUUGCGAAGGCAGCCUGCUGGACUGUAACUGACGCUGAUGCUCGAAAGUGUGGGUAUCAAACAGGAUUAGAUACCCUGGUAGUCCACACAGUAAACGAUGAAUACUCGCUGUUUGCGAUAUACAGUAAGCGGCCAAGCUAAAGCGUUAAGUAUUCCACCUGGGGAGUACGCCGGCAACGGUGAAACUCAAAGGAAUUGACGGGG
rnacentral:rRNA from 1 species